UCUUACUUGGAGAUAAACAUUAGUUAACA
rnacentral:piRNA from 1 species